CCUGCGAGUGGGAUCUCGAGGAGAAAGACAGCAGUGAUGAAGUUUUUAGGGAAUGCUCUGUGGAAAAGAUAGGAACUGAAGAGGAGGAAUUUUCCAAUUCUUCCUGUUGGAAAAACAACCCAUGCAGGUGUAAUUUAACCAUAUUUGUCCGAACCGGAAUUGACGAACGCAACACAAGGACGGUAUUCGACGAAACCUGACGAGGUUGACCGGUAACUUCACACCCAAAACACAGACUGGUAUAAAUGUGGAAAUUGCCAGCCAAUGCCUUCCCAGAGAGAAUGCCGCUGCUGUAAGAAAAUUAGAGAAACUGCCCAGAAGUUGGAUGGAACCGGCUUGGCCUUGCAUUGUUAAGACUUUCACCCAGUCUGCCUAAACCCAUUUGUAUUGGAGACAGCCUGGGAAUGGUGUUGGGGGCCUCUCGGCAAGAGCAACAGGGUUGUUAUACCAUCAUGUGCUGUGUAGAGAAUCCGAGCAGAAUUCCCACCCGCCACGACUUGAAGAUGAUGCUGUGUCCACAGGAUUUAUGCCCAGCUGAUGAACAUUAUGCUUGUCUUUGCAUGAAAGUAACGAGUGCGUGUUGCUCCUGGACUAAUAAUUGAUGGACAUUGCUUCCAUUAUGUGAGUUUCAACUCUAAAAUGCCUUUUGUUUUUGUUGUGCAAAAUUUGCCUUUCAAAUUGACUCUAAUUAGAGUAAGCAAAAUGGUUGAAGAAUUUGCAAUAUCAUCUGUAAGUAUCACAGCACUGAAAAGGUUUUCAAAACCAAGUUAUUUUUUUACUGCCACCUCACUUUGCUUUCACCAUGGAGGUCAUAUUUACAGAGGUUCACACAAGUUGAGAAAAGGACCAUUGAACAGACCAGACUAAUGCAUUACUUUUUUGCGUAACGCAACAUGACUGGUUUAUCAGCAUGCGUCAGAAGUUUGUAAUAUAAAACUUCUGCCGCUGAAGUUCCAUCAGGAUAGUAUUUAGUGUCUAUUUAACAAACCAGACACAGUUUUUAAAUCGCCUUCUUCAAAUUAGUUUCUUUUUUUCCCCCACAACAUUUCAUUUCACUGGCUUUGAUUUGAAAAUCUUGAAAAAUGAUAGCCAAGUCUUUGCUUGGUUUUGUGUACUGGCUGCUGAGAGGUGGUGGUGUUUGGGGGUCAGUCGAGGAAGUUGUUAGGUCUGCAUCCACAAAGAGGGUCCGGAGCUCUUAUAACAUGCGUUACACUUAUCCUGAAACAUGGAAAUUACAUUACUUCAUACAUAUGCAGAUACUGCUGUCCUGGUUUACUCCUUCAUCCUAUAGGUUAAAUGUGCAAGGGGCCAGUCUCAUAGUGAAAGUCUUUCUGAAAACUAGGUUGCUUACCUUGUUGGCGUUCAAAGUUAUUCUACUUCCGUGGACGAAUCAUUUGACAACGUCAAAUUUUUGUCAUGCUGUCCGAGUGUUCCUGACAUAAACUUGCCGUCAUAAAUGUUUUGUAUUUUACAUUUUUAGUAUGUCUUCUUUGUGACAUCAACAACUGAGUUUUAGCCUGAAUUUAACAGGUUUGAUAUUAUUACAGAGUAAUUGUAUUUACAAUGUUAUACUUUGAUAGGGUAUUUCUUUGUGUCAUUCUGCUUUUUUUUUGUUUGUACAAUCAAUGUACAAUCCUGCUUUAUCUUCUUCA